AUUGAACGCUGGCGGCAUGCUUUACACAUGCAAGUCGAACGGCAGCGCGGGCUUCGGCCUGGCGGCGAGUGGCGAACGGGUGAGUAAUAUAUCGGAACGUACCCAGGGGUGGGGGAUAACGUAGCGAAAGUUACGCUAAUACCGCAUACGCUCUAUGGAGGAAAGCAGGGGAUCGCAAGACCUUGCGCGCUUGGAGCGGCCGAUAUCUGAUUAGCUAGUUGGUGGGGUAAAGGCUCACCAAGGCAACGAUCAGUAGCUGGUCUGAGAGGACGACCAGCCACACUGGGACUGAGACACGGCCCAGACUCCUACGGGAGGCAGCAGUGGGGAAUUUUGGACAAUGGGGGCGACCCUGAUCCAGCAAUGCCGCGUGAGUGAAGAAGGCCUUCGGGUUGUAAAGCUCUUUUGUCAGGGAAGAAACGGUUUUGGCUAAUAUCCAGAACUAAUGACGGUACCUGAAGAAUAAGCACCGGCUAACUACGUGCCAGCCGCCGCCGUAACAC
rnacentral:rRNA from 1 species